rnacentral:lncRNA from 1 species
UUGGGUCGGAAGGGAGCCAAAACUCAUCUCAUGUUUGGUUUGUCUCUUUUUAACUCUGAAAUUGAAAUCGAAAUGAACAAAUCCGUUUGUCCGUAUUUGGUAUACGAGAUUUUCAUUCUGAUUUCGAUUCCCGGGUGAAUGAGAAUUUCUUCAAUUAUCUCUUUUUUCAAUCCGGCCUAGAAAAUCGGAUUGAAAAUUGAAUCCGGACGGAUUGGAUUUGUUUGGAUUAAAUUUAACUUUUAAGCUUAUUUUUAAAAUUAAAAUAUAAGUUUAAGUUUAAAAAUUAUAUUUAUAAAUUUAAAUUUUAAUUUAAACUUAAAUUAAAAAUUAAAAUUCAAUCAAGCAUUCAAAUCUAAUUUAUAAAUUUGAAUUUAAAUUUAAAAUCUAAAGUUUUAUUCAAAUUUAUUUAAAAUUUAAAUUAAAUUUAUGGAUUCAAAUUGAAAUUGAAAUUAUAAUUUUAAGUUUAAAUUUGAAUAAAUUGAAAUUUAGUUUUAUAUUUUGAAUUAUCCGUUCAAUUUCAAAUUUUAAUUUUUUUGAAUAAAUAUAUUUAAAAUUUAGAUAUUAUUUUAAAAAAUUUUUAUAUAUUUUUAGUAUUUAAAUUUUAGUUUGAAUUUAAACUAAUAUAUUAUAAAGAUAAAAUUUAAAUAUUAAUUUGAUUACGUUUUUAAUAUCUAUCUGAACCAAAUACCAACAAUGAGAAUGGUUCAUUCCGAUUCUGAUUCAGGUGGCGAACCAAACAGAAUGAGAUAAUGAAUUAUUCCGAUUUCAUUUCCAACUUAUUCUUAUUUCAAUUUCGAUACCGAUUCCGACUUCCAACCAAACACAACCAAAGUGACUACACAGUAAUUUCUAUUUCAACUGUUACCAUUCAAAUCUAAUCAAAUAUUUUAAUCUUAUUAAAAUUUGUAAAUAAUUAUUAUUCUUUUUGACCUUUUAUGUAAAAUAAUU